CCGAACGUCACCCUUAUCGCAUCGUCGGCGCCGACGCAACCGCGGCUGCGCUGCGGCGCUUCCAGACGGUCGUGGCGCAAGUGGGCCUCGGCUAUAUGGGCGCGCCCGAUUUUGACCGCAAUCAGCUCCUGCCGUCGGCGGUGGGGCAGUGCGCCCGGUCUUUCUGGCUCCGGCCGCUCAGCACAAUGGGGAUGCGCAGGAGAGUGCCCCCCAUGCUGAUUGUGGGGAUUGAGGGCAUGCGCGACUUCUAUCCGCUGCUUGUCGCCGAGAAUUUGGCCAAGCAAGGGGUGAACACGCGUGCGGCCUUUGUGCCGUGGUCAGCCGUUGCCGAUCAGCGCGACCGCAACAACGUGCAGCUUGCGGCCGGGCUUGACAACCCAAUCCAGCGGCGAAAACUGGCGCAGGCACUCAAGGCGCUCGUGCGCCCGGGCGAGCGUAUUGGCCUGCCCGCCAUACUGGGCAUGGCCGAACAUGCUGCGGUCAUGGCCGAACUUGAAGCCGUGACCGGUGCCACACUCUUUGAAAUCCCCACACUGCCCCCCAGCGUGCCGGGGGCGCGCCUCUAUCAGGCAUUGCGCCGCCGCCUGCAGCAGGCUGGCGUGCGUAUCGAGACCAACAUGGAGGUCAGCGGCUUUGGCGCAGAGGACACGGCCGCCGGUCACCGCAUCACGUGGGUGGAGACAGCCACCAGUGCGCGUCCGUUGCGCCAUGCGGCGCGCGCGUUUCUUCUGGCCACGGGGGGCGUGCUGGGAGGCGGAUUCAACAGCGAUCCUUCCGGACGCUUUGCGGAGGAAGUCUUUAACCUGCCCGCUGACCGUGCCGCAGGCACGGCGCGCCUGGUUCCGCGCCCAGUUCCUCGAUGCCACCGGGCAACCCGUCUUCCGUGGCGGCGUGGCUGUGGACGACCGCCUCCAGCCUGUCGACGACAGCGGCGCCCUUGUCUACACGAAUCUGUGGGCCGUGGGCGGCGCGCUGGCGGAAUCCGACCCGAUCAUGGAGCGGAGCAUGGAGGGCGUUGCCAUUGCUACGGGCAUGGCCGCGGCAUCGCAUGUGGCCGCCGCCAUGCAAGCGAUCGCCGCCGUCGCCACCUGAGGCACGCGUGCCUGGACUACAACAUUGCUGAUUCUCCCUGCUCGAGGGCAGAGAACCCCAUGACAGCCUCUGCGUUUCCUAUCUCCUGGGAGUCCGUCGACCAUUCGCUUGACGAGUGCAUCAAGUGCAACAUUUGCACUGCCUAUUGCCCCGUUUCGGCGGUGACGGAACUCUUCCCCGGCCCCAAGUAUGCGGGGCCACAAGCAGACCGCUCCGCGAGAGCGGCCAACCGCAAUCACCCGACCAUGGGGUGGACUACUGCUCGGGCUGCCGUGUCUGCAACGACGUGUGCCCCACCGGUGUAAAGAUUGCCGAGAUCAACGCACGCGCGCGUGCGCAGAUGGUCGAGCAGCGGGGGGUGCCGCUGCGCAAUCGGUUGCUGGGGCGCAACGAGCUCAUGGGAAAUGCAGGUCAUUUUGCGCCGCGCAUUGCGAACUUUGCGCUCCACAAUCCCCUCAGCCGGGUGCUGGCGGAGAGGCUGGUGGGUGUUGCGCGCAAAGCGCCUCUGCCACGCUGGAGCACCACCGGCUCCUUUGGGCAGUGGGCGCGCAGAACGCGGCCGCGCCGCCUGCGCAGCGACAAGAGGUGGUCUACUUCCACGGCUGCGCCACUAUGUACUACGAGCCGUUUGUGGGCAAGGCGACCGUGGCCGUGCUUGAGCACAACGGUUUUGAGGUGAUCGUGCCCCCGCAGAACUGUUGCGGCCUGCCGCUGCUCUCCAAUGGCGAGUUCAAAGCGGCGGCGACAUACCAUCGCAACAAUGUCGCGCGGCUGGCGGGCUUUGCGCGCGCGGGUAUGCCGUGGUGGGCUCCAGCACCUCCUGCACGCUGACGCUCAAGGAAGAAGCCCCUGAACUGCUGGACAUGCACGACGAAGGCUCCACCACACUCAAGAUGGGCGUCUGGGACAUCUUCGAGUUCCUGGCCGACUUGCACGAGCGCGGCGCACUGCGCACCGACUUCCGCACGCUGCCGCUGAAUUUGCCCUACCACGCGCCCUGUCAGCAGCGCGCCCAUCGUGUCGGCAAACCAGCGCUUGCCAUCCUGGCGCUUGUGCCGGGCAUCACGCUGCACGAGAGCCAGGCGCGUUGCUGCGGCAUUGCCGGCACGUAUGGCUACAAGGUGGAGAAGUACCAGAUCGCCAUGGACGUAGGCGAAGAACUGUUCAGCUUUGUGCGCGCCCACGCACAAGGAACGGAGUACACAGCGUGCGACUCGGAGACCUGCCGCUGGCAACUUGAGCAUGGCACAGGCAUUGCCAGCCGCCACCCCAUCGAAGUACUGGCCGCCGCCUACGGGCUGUAUGACCUCGAGACCCGCGCGCUCACCUGAGGGCGCGGAACAGAGUUCAUGGCAGUAUGAUCGCGGUAUGGUCAAGGCAAGCCUCACCGAUUCGUCGUCAUCUGUGCCCC
rnacentral:misc_RNA from 1 species